rnacentral:rRNA from 1 species
UACGUAGGGAGCGAGCGUUAUCCGGAAUUAUUGGGCGUAAAGGGUGCGUAGAUGGUUGAUAUAAGUCUUUUGUAAAAAUGCUAGGCUCAACCUAGUAGGGCAAAAGAUACUGAUGAACUAGAGUACGGCAGAGGCAAGUGGAACUACAUGUGUAGCGGUAAAAUGCGUAAAUAUAUGUAAGAACUCCGAUCGCGAAGGCAAGUGUCCGGGGUGCAACUGACGCUGAGGCUCGAAAGCGUGGGGAGCAAAUAGG